AACCGCCCAGCAACUGGGCAAACAUUUAACCCAACUGCUGGGUUAAUGCAACCCAGCCAAUGGGUUUGUCCAUUUUCAAACCAACUGGGGUUGUUUUUAACCCAGCAUUUUUUUUAAGAGUGUAUUAUCUCAAGUGCUAUAGGCUCUCCCAUAAAAUUUGUCUUUAGAAUUGCGGCCAGAAUAUUAUACAGAAUAUUAAAAAAAAAAAAAAAAAAAAGAUGAUGAUGAUGAUUGUUAGUCCAUGGUUUAGGUCAUUAAAUGUGACAACAAAGAUGUUUAGUUGAUUUGAUGCAAAUCUUUUGUGUAUGUUAUGUUGUUUUGGUCAUAUCAGUUGUUUUCAUUUUUGCACUAAUCCGUUUUAAUUUGUUAGUUAAAACCCUUCAAUAUACGUAGGUGUUUUUGAAAAUGGAAAAAUCUGUCCUUGAUCUGUUUUAAUUAGUUUGAUGUUGUAUAGCUCUGAACGCAAGUAAAAUUGGUACAAAUGUUUUUUUUUUUUUUGCAUCAUGCAUAUGCUACAAGCAGUGCACUGCCACAAAACUAUAUUGUUCCCAUUAUGAUACAAAAUGGUCUACAAUUCGACUGCACUGUUGCCUGUUGUUUGUUGAUAUUGAUUACACUGGGAGUAAUCUAGUUUUGUCACAUCAUGCUUCUUGCUUGCAGUGUUACAUUCAUGCCUUUCUUGGAUGGAAAUGGAGGUAAUCCAGCUUUUGUUAAAUAAAUACUGUAUAUCAACUUUUUGUCUGUGAAUUAUAACAAUGUGAAGUUGCCUAUACCUUUUUACCAGUCUUUGGAUUGAAGGGUGGGUUCACACAAAAAAAAAUCAUUAAGUCAUUAAUUACCGCCAUGUCGUUCCAAACCUGUAAGACCUUCAGAACACAAAUUAAGAUAUUUUUGAUGAUUUCUUGAUUUCUUAUCUGUCCUGUCAUUCUCCUAUGAUGUUUACUUUCAGCACUUUCAGGUUCUACAUCAGAACGUAGCUCAGUUUUGGCCGACGCUGUACACGUGAGCAGCACGACGCAUGCGUGUGAUGCUGACGCAGGAGCCGGCCAAUACUGAGUCGGCAUUCUGACGUAGAACCUGGAAGCGCUGAAUGUAAACAACAUAGGAGAAUGACAGGAAAGUGAAGAAAUUGUUGAAUAAAGUUAUUUUUUGUGUUGUUUUUGCACACAAAAAGUAUUCUCGUCGCAGUUGUUAUAACUGCGAACAUUAAAGGCCAGAGUCAGAUCAUGUUCUCAGAGUUUUCAGUGCAAGAAGUCUGGCUAGACUGACGCAAAACAAACUAUAUUGUGCACAACUAGAUCAUUCCUAUUAUUAUCAACAAAACGUAAUCUGAAAAUGUUCAAUGCAACACACAGGCUGAUGCCCCAUUCAUGUUGCAUCGGACAGUUGCUCCAUGCAGUGUCCUUCUAAAAUAAUUUUUAUUUACAAUAUUAUAGGUGUAAAUUGAUAGUCAAUAAUUUCAUUCAUUAUUAGACCUACAUAAUCUCUGACUGUUGCAUUAAAAGCAGCUCUGUUCGAGUAAAUCUGUUGGAUGAUGUUCUCAAAACUUGUAACACUCACCAACAAACAUCUUACCGAGCACCAUUUUAGUGCAAAAGGGGUAAAUUAUGUCUGCUGUUCAACCUCAGAUAUAAUUUCUCCUCCUCUAAAAAAAAGUCUCACCCCAUUUCUCCAUCUUAAGGUGUUCACCUGAUUGGCUUGUUUGAAGAAAGUGUUUUUUGUCCCAUCAUUGUCUGAAACAGAAUGAAUAAAAGUGUCAACUGAACAGAUGGUGUUGCAUUUUUUUAUGUUAUUUUUUCUUGCUUCAUUUUUCUGCCUUUUCUGAACAUCUGAAGCAGAGAUUUGUGGGGAAACUUACCAUUUUGAUCAACAUGGUUACAAAACACUAGAACCUGGGCCAGUUCACGGCCAUUAUGAUGAUCGCUCUGGAACAAAUGUUUGCUAUCAUCCGUGGUUGUUUCCAUAAGCUUACUUAAUUAUACCAUUUGCUUUUUUUUUUUUUUUUUUUUUACAGCUCUCACUUUUCUUUUCAUGUUUUUCUUUUCUUUUUUUCUUUUUUUGAAGAGAUUAAAGUUUCAAAUGAAGAGAUCCAUCAUAAUCUCUCCAACUGGAUUUUUUUAAUUUACAUUUUUAUGAUUCUUUUUCAUUUUCUUGUUUAGUUUUCAUUAAUCUUUUCUUAUAAAUACUAUCCUGAAGUUCCUUUGGUAAUUUAGUUGGGAAAUUAUUCUUCAUGCGUUCACCACAUGGUGGCGAUAAUGGCUUGUAUUGAUGACAGUGUAUUUUGAUUUAUGGAACGUUCCUUCCCACUAUAGUGGUAGGGACAGUUAAUCAACCACUCACCUAUAUUAUAUUCCUUCAUUAUGCCUGCUGACACUUACCUACUUCCUGUUGUCUGAGUCUAUUGCAGGAAGUGAGCUCAGCAGACAGGGUGUGUGUGUGGGGGCAAGACUUGAAGUAUUACUGUGUGGAAUUCCCCCUCUUUCCCAAGGGUGAGGAAUUCCAGAUCAGCGCACACUUCAGGCAGAAACAAGGAUGAAGGAGAAUGUACAGAAAUUUCACCUGAAGCUAUUCCAAUCAGCGGCCUCGACUGCCUCUGGAGCCACCUCGUAAACAAGGUCUCUGGCUACGCCUGUGCUGGAGUGAACUUUCUCUCAGGUAGCAUGGGCCUCUGGAGGAACACAUUGCAUAAUCCUUUCCCCGCCGAUGGAAAAAAAGAAUGCCUGAAGUAUGAGAUGGAGGGACUAAUUAUUCUGCAAUAUCACACUGGAAUCUGCACUGAAGCAGGGUCGGCGCGAACGUGGCCUUGAUUUCCCAGCAACUGAACAAGGUUGGAUUCAGUGCAUCACUUAAAGAGGACCUGCUCCGUGUGCAUCUCUGUAAGAGGUCAGGUACAUCAAAAAGGACAUGUUAACACACUGUCUAGAUACAGCCCAAAAAAAGCAAAGAAGCAUUUCAACUAUUUGUGGAGAGCUUUCAGAAUGGAAGUGGAACAAUACGAUAGCCCGAGGGGAAAAUAAGUGAUCAUGCUGGUAUGUUUAGAUUAGACAGAAAGGAAGCCAUCAUUGUCAUUGUCAGAUUUCAGUUUUUUUUUUUUUAUACUUCGCUGAGCUUUGACAUUCUAUCCUGGUCUAAUCAGUUAGAACCUAAACCACUGUCUCUAUCUCUCUCAAGCUAUUCUCUUGAUGAUAUGUGUAGUGUGAAAGUUUGCAUAAUAUAUAUCCACUUUUUUUGAAAACUUCCUCUCUUACAUCAUUACGUUUUAAUGGGGGGCGUAAGACGUUGCGACGGUUGUGGGUUGCGAUGUGUGCUGCUUGAUUCAUGAAGUGGUAAAGACUGAGCUGCCAGUUUUGAGAGAGGAGGCCAAGCUUUAUUAAUAAGAGACAAGGCGCUCUUCCCUUAACAUGUGCCAACAUGCGAGUGCAUUACCUCCUCGGCUGGCUAUGGCAGAGAUGUGAGUUGCAUUCCACUACCCACAAAAACCCUUGUCUCAGAGCACAGAGAGGCAUUAGAGAGAAGGGCCAGUUUUCAUUUCAAGUUUUAAUAGCUUGUCAUUGGUUUCUUAGAAGCUGCUGUGUGGUUAGUUUGUGGUUUCUCUGUGGUUACUCUUGGAAAACUAUAUGAAUCAUGGGUCUUUGUUAAUAGCCGAGAGACUCUUUCUCAAUCUUGAUCUACUAACUGCCAGUCCAAGAGUAGGGCUCAACAAUAAGGAUGGCUCGAUAACACAGGGCCAGUGUGAAAGAGUUUUGGGUCAUUUAGAAACUGGCAUCACUCUAUUGGUUCUUAACUACAUCUUAAGUUUGGGUUUUAAUGCCUUGCAAUCUUAAACAUUUAUUUUUUUUUCCCUAUUAUAUUUUGAAUAUUGUUGUUGAUCAUUCUGUUGUAUUUAAUAUGUCACUAACAGGGCUUGACAUUAACACCCGCCAGUUAGAAUUUUAUAUAUAACAUAUGCAUUUUUAAAUUGUAGUCUUUUAAAAAGACAUCUGAAAUAAUAAACUAAGUGCAAUGUAGUGUCAGAAAUUUCAAUUUUAAGAUACUUAUCGGUACUGGAAAAUCUAAACUGCUUCCAAUACUCAUUUUCUGCAGAAUAGGCCUACAUGAUAGCUGCGCUUUCUCGCUUUCUUAUCUCUCCGACAGCGAGUUGACGCACAAACCCGCCUCCCCUCACUCACUCAUUUUAUUUGCUCUGGAUGAAUAUUGUUGGUUGAAUUUCAGUGUAGGAUUAUGUGUAUUGCGCAUAAUUUUACUCAUUCCCGCAAAUUUUCUGCUCACACCCAAAGUGCACGCACAUAAAGCCGCCUCUCAGUACUAAAUUUAGUU